GGAGAGGAGAGUGGAAUCCCUAGUGUAGCGGGGAAAUGCGUUUAUUUCAGGAGGAACACCAGUUGCGAAGGCGGCUCCCUGGACUGUAACUGACGCUGAGGCACGAAAGCGUGGGGCGCAAACAGGAUUAGAUACUCUGGUAGUCCACGCUGGAAACGAUGAGUACUAGGCGUCGGGGGUUACCCCCCUCGGUGCCGCAGCUAAC
rnacentral:rRNA from 1 species